GAGUUUGAUCAUGGCUCAGGAUGAACGCUAGCGGCAGGCUUAACACAUGCAAGUCGAGGGGUAGAGGAAGCUUGCUUCCUUGAGACCGGCGCACGGGUGCGUAACGCGUAUGCAAUCUACCUUGUACAGGGGGAUAGCCCAGAGAAAUUUGGAUUAAUACCCCAUAGUGUAAUGAAAUGGCAUCAUUUUAUUACUAAAGUUCCAACGGUACAAGAUGAGCAUGCGUCCCAUUAGCUAGUUGGUGUGGUAACGGCAUACCAAGGCAACGAUGGGUAGGGGUCCUGAGAGGGAGAUCCCCCACACUGGUACUGAGACACGGACCAGACACCUACGGGUGGCUGCAGUCGAGAAUCUUCGGCAAUGUGCGCAAGCACGACCGAGCGACGCCGCGUGUGCGAUGAAGG
rnacentral:rRNA from 1 species